AUAUUUUUUAUUCAGUUUUUAUAACAUUUAUAUAUUUUCUUUGAGCCUCUAUAGACUUUGUUUUAAAACUGUUGGAAUUAUAGAUUUUCUAGAAUAAUAGCUAUAGCUACUAUUAAAAAAGCUAUAGCUGCCAAAUGGCUAUAUCAAAGCAGACAUUAACAAAAAACAUUUUGCUAAAUGUGUUAAGAAGAAAUAUUUAAACAUUUCGGAGAUUAAUUUGCGUUCUGAAUAUAAAUGUGAAUAUUAUUCUAGGUGCUUCAGCUUAAUUUAAGUAGAUUUUUAUUAUAUACAGACAUAUACAUAUUUAAAGAAUAUAUAUUUAAAGCAUAACGUUUAAAUAUAUAAAAGUUUAAUUACUUUCAUAUAACGCCUCUCUAUGAGAUUCACAUAAUUUUAAUUUUUACCCUUAUACACUUUUAUAACGUUUCUUAUAAUAAGCUUUAAUUAUAAGGCUAAGGCUAAAGUUAGUUAAGUCCAUAGAAUUCUAGUGAAAAGUCAGAGUUUCAUGUCCACUUCAGACUAGCAUAAAUAAUUAGUUAACGGCUUCAUUGUCUAGGCCGUUAAACUGUUACUAAUAGUUGGGCAAACUUCAAGUGCUUUCUCUUAAGAGAGCAGAAAUUCUCUUUCUGUUUACACAAUUCGCGUGGAUGAAAAAGCUCUCUUUUGCUUAUCAGUUGCUGUCGCUGCUGCUGCUGCUGCCGUUGGCGCUGCUGCCGUCGCCACAGUCACCGUCGCAGUCGCUGUUUGGUUGGGCUGCUGUGCGCCGCAUCGACACGGUCGAGAGUGUUUGUCAUGAAAAGCGUUUGGACGGCUUCCGUUUGGCAUCAGUUUGUUGGCAAUACUCAGACGCGUCGGCCGCACUCGCCGUAGAGACCAAACAGAGACAGAGCCAGAGACACAGCUAACCAAAGACAGAUCGUGGACAGCGACGUACCGUGGUCAAAGAACGUGCAAAUUGCAAAUUUUUUAAAUUAAAAACAAAUAAAAGUUGGCUAUGUUUAUAGUUGAAUGCCAAAACAUUUGUGAUGUGAUAUAAAAGACAAUUCGAACGCGUUGUUCUUUUUCGUUUUGAUUAAGUUCUCCCCAAUCCCCGCCCUGCCCAAAUUGGUUCGUUUUCCAGCUUGAUUUAUUUUGAUUUCCGUUUUUAUUUUUAAACACCCAAACUAUUUUUUUUCAAUACGUUCUUUUACGAGCUGUUAAAUUGCCAAAACAUUUGCAAUUCUCUCUCUGUGUGUGUGUGUACGUGUAAAGUUAAUUUAUAUUUAUGCUUUGGAAUUUAUGUGGUUAAUGUUUAUGAUUUGGCCGAACAAAUAAAAAGUAUAUCAACGCGACGCCCACAACCAAAGCCAAAUAUCUAAAAAAAACAACAAAAACAACAAAUCUAAAAUAUAUAUCUUAACGAAAUUGAAAUUUUGCCAUUGGCCGUGAAUGAAAGCGAAAAUUUGUUUUUGUCAAAGAGCGCGUUCUCCGGCGGCACUCACUCAACAUAUUUGAGCGCUAAAAGCGAACAAAAAAAGAAAUAAAAAAGUUUCUAAAAAAGUUACUAAAAACAAAAGAGAAAAACAUAAAGAAAAAAUUUGUUUCCUGCUUCAAGUGAAAUCUACAAUACAAAAAGAAAAGCAACAACAACAAAACUACGAUUUUAAUAUAUUUUAAAGUUAAUCAAAAAAAAAAAAUAUAUAUAUAUAUGUAUACAUAAUAUAAUCAACAAUAAUUAAUCAAUAAUUAAUAUAUUCAAAAGGCUUUCAAUACAUUGAUGUGAGUUGACUAAAAAUAUACAAAAAAAAAAAAAAACAACAAAGUUAAAUUUUAAAAACUAUAUAUAAAAAAAAAAAAAAAAAAUAUAUAUAUAUAAAUUAUUUAAAAAAAUCUAAGCGCUUCGAAUUCAAGUUGUCAAUGAACUAUUUUUAAUAAAUAAAUAUAUAUUUGAAUAAAUGAAAGCAAAUAAUUGUUAUUAAAUGUGCAA